GACUAUUGCCAAAGAUAAGUGAAUUAUCAGAGCUGUUGCUCUUGCCUCGUCUCACAAUCCAUUACUUUGCCUGGUCGUCUAAUUAAAUACAGUCGUUGGAAGGGAAAUGAUCGUGAACAUCUGGUAACGAAGAAGAGUCACUGGUCUAUUUCUGCAGGUCAUUUGUAUGCGAACAGCCUCUUGCCCUGUAGAAUACCACUGUACUCUUGAUGCUGUCAAAAGGUCAGGAUCUGAAAUGGAAACUAUUAAGAAGACUGAUUGAACAUGUGAAAAAUGACAACUGGUACCCUCUUAUGAAGCAGGUCUAUUAGGGACUAUUCUGCUGCAUCUAAAUUAUAUUCCCCAGAUGCUGUAUUGGAAGAGAGAGAGAGAGAGAGAGAGAGAGAGAGAGAGAGAGAGAGAGAGAGAGAGAGAGAGAGAGAGCGUGGGUGUGUGUUGGAGGGGAGGUCAGGGUCAAAGUUCACCCUUCCCCCUAUUGCAAUAUUACAUUGUAAUUCAUAUCCCAGUGGUUAUGACAUCAGGGCAGAGGUGGUGAAAUCACUUAGAGGCCUGUAUUACAUGACCAUUAUAUCAGGUUACAAUGUAAUGACAUAUUAUUGUGCUAUAAAGGAUUAAUUAAAUAAUCCAAACAUGAAUGCAACCUUGGGUAAUCAUGACAUAGAAUACUUAUUCAUGGAUAUUGCUUAAUACAUUAAUCGUAUAUCUUGUCUCACAUCAGAUUUGCUCAGGUUUACAUCAUACCCCAACAAAAAGUGAUUUUUAUGUUGAACAUUUUCACAAAUGAGUGGCAGAGUGCUUUUCGAAAUCUCUGCAAGGAAACAGCAGCGGUGUACGUUAGAGCCGGCUGGGUCUGUGUGGAAUGUUUAGAUGGAGUAGAAGGGACGGCAGUGUGGGCUCCUCUUCCCGUGCGCGAGGGCAGUCACACGGGGAGAACUCAACACCCUGGGCAGCAGCGCUCUCCAGCAAGCCAGCAGCAGACAUCCAUUCAAAGCCGCACGGCACAGGAGGUGUUGCUCGACAGACAUGUUGCUUUUACAUUUUACCCACUUUCUUCUUCUUUUUAUUCUACUUUUUAGGGUUAAAGAAACAUGUGAACAUUUUUAAUGAUUCAUCUAUUUCCUCUGUCAGUGACAAUGCCGGGUAGCAAAUCCUAUAUAUUGUCUUUUGGGUGAUGGCAGGUUACUUCAUAAUAGAACACAGCAAAGAGCUCAUGAUCCAUGAUCAGUGCGGGCCAGUAGAUUAGAGUCUGGGGUGGCUAACCCUCCACUUGAGUAUUUGAACAAUAGAAACAUAAUUUUGAUGUGUGAAUCCUACAUUAUUAACACGGAGAAAGAGGAAAGAGAGUUUGCUGCAAAAAAAAGGAAAGAAAAAAGCCAAGCAAAAGCUAAAAAUAAUCACUGCCAGCUUUGCACAGCAGUGCAGUGAGUGGCUGGGGACCUCUGGAGUGGCAAAGCAGUGAAGAAGAGAAAAAAAAACCUGAGAGAAUGUUUAAAUUAAACAGUGAAAUUCAACAUCUGCGUUCCAAAGCCUUUACCCUCAAUUUCGCAUCUAUUGUUGUCUUGGGUGUGUGUGAAUGUGUGUGCGCACAUGCGUGCAUGUGUGUAUGCGUGCCUUUUUGUGUGCGUGCACACACGCUUGUGAGCAUGUGUUAUUGAGAGAUUUUAGGCACCCAUUCGCACUAAUCUCCAUUUACUCUGCUGUCACUGUCUCAGGGAUGAACUAUGGCACAACUGUGGUGCCGAACACAUCACCCGUACUGAGAGUUGUCCUACUUUCUGCUUGGAGGGAGGGGAGCAUGUUGGAAAAAGCAUAUGGACUGUAUAUUCAUUAGUACAUGGAUGAUAAAUAGAUUAAUUGGCUAGAUUAGGCAACCAAAGCUUUGAUCAGAGGGACGGAGCCAAAAAAUGCAUUUAUUGUUUUAUUGUGACUUUGUUCAUAGAGACAAAAUGUAAUGCUGCAAACCUUGCUGUACAGUCAUUCAUAGGAUUUACUUACAGUUACUGUGAUGCUUCCAGUUAGUGUUAACAGGAGCCUGCAAACACCUAAACAAUGGAACAGCAAUGAAAUCUAAUGCAUGUGGGUCUACACGCUUGUAAAUACAAAUAAAAACAAUAGAACUAAUAAGUACUAUAAAAUGAGUCCAUCGAUGUUGUCUUAGACCACUGAGUAACUACGCGAGAUGUAGUUUCACUGGAUUUCAUCAUCUGGACCCUUCUGUCCCA